GGUGUUUUGAAUGAUUUUUGUUGUUACAAAUUGUAAUGUCAACUUAUAUAUCCCAUUGAUAUAAUGGCUAUUACACCAGUGUCUAUACUUCUUAGUAUUUCCCUGAGUGUUUAUUUAUCAAUAUUAAUUAUGACUGACAACUGGACAUUGAUUUUCUGAUAUGAUGAUCUAUAUUACAUUAUUUUCACCCUCUGCUGCUAACCAUACACUAUUUAGACAAACGGUGACGGAGGUAUCAUGAUAUGUAACAGUAUUUAUACUAGGAUUCAAAGUAAAUGAAGCAC
rnacentral:lncRNA from 1 species